rnacentral:rRNA from 1 species
UGGGGAAUAUUGCCCAAUGGAGGGAACUCUGAUGCAGCGACGCCGCGUGAACGAAGAAGGCUUUCGAGUCGUAAAGUUCUUUUAUAUGGGAAGAUAAUGACGGUACCAUAAGAAAAAGCCCCGGCUAACUACGUGCCAGCAGCCGCGGUAAUACGUAGGGGGCUAGCGUUGUCCGGAAUCACUGGGCGUAAAGGGUUCGCAGGCGGAAAUGCAAGUCAGGUGUAAAAGGCAGUAGCUUAACUACUGUAAGCAUUUGAAACUGCAUAUCUUGAGAAGAGUAGAGGUAAGUGGAAUUUUUAGUGUAGCGGUGAAAUGCGUAGAUAUUAAAAAGAAUACCGGUGGCGAAGGCGACUUACUGGGCUCAUUCUGACGCUGAGGAACGAAAGCGUGGGUAGCAAACAGG